ensembl:lncRNA
CGGCCGUAAAAUAAAGUGUUACCAUUCAGCUAUGCGCAGUAAUUCAUUGAUUCAAUCUGAUCUACGAACAUAUCAAAAGGGGACGGAAAAGAUUAGCUCAUAGUUCCAUUUUAUUUUCAGUGUUACGCAACAUUAGAAGUAUAAAUAUCUGUUUUAAUAUACAACAUCUAUGACACCCAUAGAGCUUUCCUUGGGCAAAAUACAAAACUCAAAACACUUUUAUUGCACAUGUUCUAAAAGACAAACCAUCGAGAGCGAGUUCAUCUAAUACUAGUUUUGCACGGAGGAAGAAAAAAAAAAAGGGAACUAAAAAGUCGAGCAGAGAAAGAAGGUGUGACAUCGAUCACAGCACGAACACGUGUUCUUACGCCAUGAACAGCAGCUCUGACACACUACACAGAUUUGGCAAAUAACGAUACACAAAAUAUACAUCCAUGAUGCUUUGUAAACAAACAUUGAAUGUGCUUUGCUGAUUUUAAAUGUCAGUCGUCACCGGAGGAAAAAAAAAAAAAAGUUUUAUUUCAUCAAAUGGAACUCGUUUAAAUCUGACAGACGAGACGGGAAUUCAUGAAUCAUUUCAGUUCCGCUUCCUUCUCCUCGCCCUCCCCAACCGAAUACCGGGCAAACAUUAAGGUGCAUUUGUUCUCACACACACUACAUUAGCGACGCAGCAACAAAAUAUCUAAUGCAAAGAUCCUUUUCAUCGUUAAAAUCUCGUGAAGAUAAACUUCAGACUCCGUCACGUUGGGCCGGUCGCGAUGAGAGUACACGUGGUCGUUUUAACACAACAGAGCGAAUACUGCAUGACACACUCCGUGUCUCCUCCUCCUUCAGGGCUUCUUAUUCAUCUACAGGAUGAAUGUGUGUGUGUGAUUUAGCAGAAAGUGAAUGCAGAUACAUGACAGCCUACAUUAGUACCAAGAGUUUAACAUUGAGUGCGUGUGAAAUCUUUGAUUCCUCUGAGACACCAAAAACACUCGACCAGCACGAAGACCCGAAACCCCCCCCGAGAAAUCUUCUGAAGCCCCCUCUGUGCUUACCGACUGCAGUGAUACCGGAUAGACUUUCCUGGGGGGGGUGGGGGGGGCGAACGGCCCUCACAGUUUUGUUGAUUAAUGCUACAUUUUCAGAAACAGUCCAUUUGCCCCCGACCCCCCCCCCCCCUACCACCCCCCGUGUGGAAAGUCACAAAAAACAGGAGGCCUCCGAUGAAAUGCAUCAUGGGAGCUCACUUUAAACCACAAAAAUACCGAGCUCAUAAUAUUGAUCUACACCUUUAGUACAAACGACAAUCACGUGAGUCCCAGUUUAACAAUGUUCUCAUAUUUACACCAUAUUGCAUAAAAAUCCCCAAAAUAUAUGUACACAUGUCAGAGGAAUGUAAAUGAACACCACAGCUUGCUCGGAACAGCAAGUUUUUUUUUUAAUUUCCCAUAAUUCUAAGGCCCCUUCACUGAUUUAGGAUUUCCCAGAACUGUGAGAUGAUUUCCCUAUUUUUAGUUUUCGGGGGGAAAGUCGGGCGUGUUUUUAUUCCCUCGGUGCGUCGACAAGAGAAUCCCACGGAACCACGAGGCCCCCUGCAGGUUCCUCCUGUGUUCCAAGUGAGAGUGCAAUCAAGCCGCUUUAAUAUGGCACGGACUGUACGGCCAAGGGGCGGAGCCUAGCGAGCCCCGGCCCCGCCCCCUCCUCACGCGCGCUGACACGCUGAUUGCACGAAGCAGAAACAAAAACCAACCUGACGUGAAAAGUAAAAAAAAAAAACACCAGAAAUGAUCAGCAAACGACUUCCUACAUUCGGACGUAAGCGCGCACGUCUCCAACCAGCAUGCAACAGCUCGCCCCCGCUCCCCGAAAUCAAGAAGGCGUGAUGCUGCUUCCACAAACCCGCCCCCCCCCUUUAUUUUUUAUGGCAGGAACUACGCGGCGACUCUUUCUGCUGCUUCCUGCCGGCGUCCCGCUCGGCGGCGGCGGCUCUGGUCGCGUCUCUUUUAGUGUUUUUCUGCGCGGGCGCGCCCUCUUGAACGGCCUCUUUUUUCUUCCUCUCCGGCUCCCUCUUGCCGGAGGACGCCACCUGUUUGUCCGGGGGAGGGGGCGGCGGCGGCGGUGGCGCCCCCCCACCGCGACCGUCGGGUUUGGCCGUUUCGGCCUUGGGGCCCUCCUUGGUCGCUCUGAACGCAGCGCCAGGGGCCCGGCCCGGGGCGGCCUCACCGCUCGGCGGUUCUUUCCUCGCCGCGUCGGGCUGGGGGGAGGGGGCGUCCGCGGCGACAUCUUUUGGUCUCGGGCCGUGGUGGUUUCUCCCGGCGGGCGCUGUGGUCUUGGGGGACGGCUCCUUGUGUUUGGGAUCGAGGCAUUGUUUACCAGCUGGUGAGGUCUUCCCAGCCGGCGAGGGAGGGGCGGCCUUGGCGGGGGGCGGCGGUUUGGGCGGCGGCGCGGAGCCUCUGGGCGGGGCUUCUCUCGGGGAAUGCGGCGGCUGAACGGAGGCGUCCGGGGUCGUUUGAGCGGGGGCUUCUCUCUGCUUGGCGUUGGGACUGCCCCCGGCUGGGGGGCCGGGAGGAGCCGCGCCGCGAGACUUCACUUCCGGCGAUUUUGUGUGCGUCUUCGUGGCGGCGGGUGCCGCGGGCCGCGGGUCGGGCCUGCACUUACUUUUGGCCAGCUGAGCGUCUUCCUUGGCGGCGGCCGGGGGCGGGCACUUGGGUUUUGCGGCGCUCUCCUUCACGCUGGCGAUUUCUUCUGCACCAGAGGGUUUGUUUCGGGCUUUUUCGGCUGGAUGGAUUCUCGCAGCGACGAUCUUUUUCGUCUCCGUCGGUUCCUCUUCCUCGCCAACGCCGUCGUCCUUCUCCCUCAGCGUCCCGUUAUUCAAAGAGGCGACCAUGUUUGCUUCAGAAGCGCCUCUCUGCUGCUGCACUUUCAGGACAGCAACACGCGCGUUGACCUCCUCCUUCGAGCCGCCGCCAGCGACUGCUUUCACCGCCGACCCGACGGCGGCGGAUCUCUCCCGCCGGUCCCGAUUCAAACUGCUUUUACCUUCUUCCACAGAACCAGACGCCGGUGUUGCGAGAGAAACCGGCGGUUUCUGGGACGAAGGGGCGUUCUCAGGAACGGGCGAAGAGCUUCGCGCAGGAGGCGCGUUCCCCGCGCUGUGCCUCGGCGGCGGCGGCGCGGCUCGCGGUUCGCUGGGCGCCGCCGCGGCCGGAGCCUCCCGGGUUUUCCCGCCCGGCUCCGCUUCCUCCUCCUGAUCCUCGUUGCUGACUUCCCGUAUGGAGGGCGUUUUCCCGCAGGAGGAGAAGUGGCAGCCGUGUCGGGGGCCCCGGUGGUCGUGAGCCAGCGGGGAGCCGGACUUCACAGGCGGUUUGAGGCCUCCGCUCGACGCCUCCGCUUUGCCGCUUUGAGCCUUCAGCGACUCGCCGUGUCCGUCUUGUGCUUUGCCGUUUUUAACCUCUGUGUCACUCGAUUGACCUUUGGAGGCAAAAAUGCCAUUUAGAGAAGAAACGGCUUCAGGGCUCGCGCAGGAAGUCGAGGGGCUCUUUAGCGCGUCUGCGGUUUUCAUCAUUUGUUUCUCGGCAGACGUCUGGAGCCAAAUCGGAGGACUCGGAGAAACGUUGUCGCUCGGAUUCUCCGCCAUUUUGGAUAAGCAGGUUUCCGUUUUAGAAACUCUGGGCCCCGAGAGCAGGCCGAUGUCCAGAGUGCCCUCCAGGGGUCUGAGCGAGGACACGUGGCGUCCUUCAGGUUUAUACUCCGACGACGUCUUCCGGAGCGCAGACUCGGCGGAGGAGAUGAGCUGGAGUUUCUCCACGGCGCUCUCGCCUCUGCCCGAGAAGAGCUUCGGGGACAAACCCUCGGGGCUGGAGUGAACGCUGGCGAGCCCCGCCUUCAUGUGCUCGUGAGCCGCGGCCGUGUCCAGCUGCAGGCUCUUGGACCUGGUGGAGCCAAAGUGCGGGUUCUCGUGCACGCCGGGGGACAACCGGCACAUGCAGUCUUCUCGCUCUUCGAAAGACAGCCGCUUCCUGGUGAACUCGACGUUGGGGGCUUUGAAGUCCAGUCUGUCGGGCUUCACGUUGUCCCUGGCCGUCCUGCAGUGAGCGGCGCAGAGGGCCGACCGGAGUGCCGCGUCGCUCUCGGGGCCGGCGGCGGGCGACUCGCCGUCGGGCGCCCGAGUGCCGAGCUUCUUAUGCAGCACGUCUUUGAGGGUCGCGCUUGCAGCUCGGCCCUCGGGGGGGCCGGCGUCCGGGCCGCGGAGGAGGAGGAGGAGGAGGAGGAAGCCGUCCUCCCGGUCGUCGCCACACGCCGACUCGGCCUCGCGCAGGGCGUCUUGCUUCUGAAGAGACUCCCUCCUCUCCGACCAGUCCUGGCGCUUUGCGACCAUCUUGGACUUGAGCUUCUCGCGGUCGAGCUCCUCGGCGGACUCCUGGCGGCCCAGCUUGCGACCGGGGGGCCUCUUCAAGCAGCCCUGCUCGACGGGUCGGACGCGGUGGCCCGUUUCCUCCACGCUCUGCAGGACGGCGUGAUCCCGCUCCCCGCGUCCCGGCUCCUCAUCCUGCGCCUCCUCUUGGGUCACCUCCAGGCUGUGCUUCCUGGGACACAGGUGCUUCUUCUCGCCCGCGUAAGAUGGCGACAGCUUCUCCUCGGACUGGACGCGCUUCAGGAGAGGCGAGCGGGGGGGCUCGGCGCUUUUGGGGCGCGCGAUGUGGCGCGCGAUGGUGGGCGGGGAAUGUAUCUUGGCCGGGAAGGCCUGGCUGGUCUUGGAAAUGGGAUGGGCGCCGAAGAGGGGAGAGGGGGAGCGCUGAGGAGACGUCGGCUGCGGGGUGGGCGACGGCGUGCGAGCCAAUGGGGAAAGGGGGAUACUGCCGGCGGACUUGCGGCGCCCCUGUCGGAGCCGUUGACCCGGCAGCUUGGGGCCGAGGCCGUGGAGGGUGCUGGGACGGAUGUGGCCCGAGCCGGCGGGGGAGUUCGGAGCGCUGGAGCUGGGGGAGCUGCUCUGGGACGAGUUGCCACCUGGGAGUUAAAAAACAACAACUCAUUUAACACGUAUGAAACACGUAUAAACAGCACGAUUUCUCAGACGACAUCUCCACCUGACUGGGUGAGUUCUGGUGUGUGGCGGAGGGCGGCGGGAGGGGAUCGGGGGGAGAGACUGUGGGUGGGGGGGACGCCGGGGAGACUCUCACCAGAUGACAGAGAGUGGUUGAGGGAGGAGAAACUGCGGCUGGUGUGCAGGAGAGGAGACGGCUGCAUGGCGAAGCGUCUGAAGAGGGAGCGGCGCCUGGGAGACGAAGGAGAGGAGAUCAGUCAAGAAGGUCUCGACAUGGAAGAUUUAAACCAAACCUUCUGGAUGCAAUUUGGAAAAAGAAAACAUUUCGCGUCGCACCUUUCUGGGGUCUUCUCCUUCUUGGGCUUUUUGGCACAUCUCACCAUCUUGCUCCGGUAGCUGUUCCUUCUGGCCGGACCCAUUUUUAUCGAAGUGUUUUCGAACGGCGUUGUGGAGAUGGCCACUUUGCUACCGCUCUGAAAGCACACGAAGGCAGGACGUCAGAAGACAUUUGUUAUGGGAUUCGGUUUAAGAACAAGCGUAUGUCGUGGUUUACCUUCAGCAGGAGCUCCACCACCUCCGUGUGGACCAGACCGUGCACCGGUUCUCCGUUCACGUGAGUGAUCAGGUCUCCAGCUUUCAGUCCUGCCUUAUGGGCAGGCCCGCCGUCCUCCACAUUCUGAUUGACGGACACACAGGACGCAUUUUACAUUAGCAUCUAUUUUGCUUUUUCAGGAAGUUUAAAAAAGGUCUGUCGAUCACGAGCGAACGAGCAAAAGUUCGGGACACAAAGUGCUGCAGGAAUGAGAGGAUCCCUGGUGAGUCCCAGCUGGCUGAUGAUGUAACGGGGGAUGUCCGUCUUGAUGCCCUGGCCCUCUUUGGCGUGUCCUUCGGCGGCCUCCAAGAGGUGGUAAAACUCUUCCGGGUCGAACUCCUGGAGACACGCGAACAACGUCAGUCUCAACGCGCAGCGCGACGGCUCG